ensembl:misc_RNA 7SK 7SK RNA
GGGUGUUAGAGCAAUCUGACAGUGACAUCUGUCACUCCACUUAUGCCAGGUUUGAUUCCAGGGAUUUGACUGGCUGAAACAAGUCCAGUGAUUCCCUCACUGGCCUAUAUUUGUCAUUCUGCCAUAGGCAUUGGCUGCAUCUUCCGGAUGUCAGUCAAGUCAAAGAGAAAUAUUCCCAGAUAGGGGAGGAUGACACUGUAGUCCAAGCCAUAAAAUUAGCUGAACAUUCCUACUAGGACCUCACAACAAAAUUUUAAAGUUCAUAUGAAAAUACCAAUUUCAGUUCAAAUUUCUGUUUAUAAAAAUGAAAUGCAUAUUUUUAAAAUAUA